UUUAUCAUACAAUAAUUCACAGCUGUUAAAAUAUCCCAUAAAUCAGACAUCAGUCCUUGUUUCACUGUCCUUUGAAAAAAAUGACCUCUGUCUACUGAGCUUUCUUUUACUACAAGAAUAGCAAGUGGUAAGACCCUGAACUCCUGUCUUUUCAAACAAUUGAAUGCAUAUAGCAGAAAACUGGCAUCAGCAAGCAAAGCAGCUGCAUACAUUCCAAAUAUUGCUCUAUUUAAAGCAUCCCUUAAGCUCACAGCAACAACUACAGAAGCAAACCUUUAAACUUGUCCAUAAAUUCAGCAGGGAAGGAAUGGCAGAGCCAGCAGAAAAUCAAUACUCACGUUUUGUUAUACCUGCACUUCUUGUGGUUGGCUGGAUAAUUGGUUGUGCAUUAAUGGUGUACAUUGUCUUCUCUUGAUUAGAAGAAAGAAAAUUUUGCAAUGAUGUCGAUUAGAAGAACCCAGAAGUUUAAAUGGAAAUCUUUAGUCGUUAAACUAUGUGCUGUACACGUAUUUUAAUAUCACAAUGUAGGAUUGAAUAUGGACUUUGUCCAAUGUAAAUGAGUGAUGCUCAUUAGAGAUGAGAAGACUCAUCCUGCCAUUUUUCUAAUCUUUAUGUACUUCGGGAGUCUGAUCAUAGGUCCACCUAUCCUCCAAACUACAAAUUGCUGUCAUCUUCAAUUGUCAGCAUUUUGUAAACAGAAUCUUUAUUUUUGAUUAUAAACACACAGUUCCAGCUGGAACUGGAGAUCUGCAAAUAAACCUAUAUAUUGUGAUAUAUGGUAAAGCAAAUUACAUGGGAUGUAAGCUAUCCCUAGCAAAUAGAUUGGUCAUUGUUAAUUUUUUGUUAUUAAAAAACAGGAAUCAAAUUAUAAUGGAAAUAGCUCCUUAAACUCUGAUACAUAGGUUCUAAAUAAAUUUUCCAAAACAAAAUCUUAUUUUGUUUUUUUUAAAUCUUAUCAUCCAAAAUAGUAAAAAUCCAUAUAUUGAAAGGACCAGAUACCAAAAAAUCCACCGGUCCACUGGAAGAUAAAAGAUAGAAAGAAAAAUCUGCUAUAUUGAUAUGCUAAGCAUUCUAUAUGUGGCUUGCUAGUGUAAAUAUGACUUGGUUCUUAUAAAAUUAAAAAACUUAAGUUAUUCUUCACUGAUAGAUGUCAAAAUAACCAUUGACCAUUUGACUCAGAAGACUAGUUCUAGGGCCCUGUUUUACUUCUCACUCAUUAUCAAGUUAAUUCACUUAUGCCACUUAUUAAAAUAAAUGGGACCUGACUCAAAUGGGAGUUAGACUAGGUCUUAAUAUAAGCAGUUCCACUAAAAACAAUAAAACUAUAUGCACAAGGAGAGAAGAAAAUGACCUUUCAUAGCAGAGCACUGCCUCUCUCCGCUGAUGUUGCAUCUCCAACUGUAUCCAAUCUCUGAUUCUUCAGAAGAAUUGGAGGAAAAUUAGACAGUAUAAAGCUGGCCAUUUUUGUAUCAGUUUCCUUCCUGAGAGCUGCAGAUGACUGGCUAAAGCCCUAAAACAUAAAAUUUGUGGAUAAGCACUGUUUUAAUGGAGAACUGCAUGUUAUGAGCAUGUUGGAGGUUGCACGGACAGUCUGUUCUCUCUGGGACCUCAAAGGAAGAAGGAGAAGCCAGGGGGCUCUCAGAUUCACGUAUUCCAAAGCUACAGGGGAUUGUCUGUGUGUAUUUGAUCACAGAAUUUCUCCCAGAUACAUAUCUUUAAAACAGACACUUAUUUUCACUUUAACGACUCCAGGCAAAGAUGUGUGCACUUAGGAGAUCCGCUCUUAAGCAGCUUGUUCAAAGUUGUGGAGGGAGAGGGAGAUUUUCAGAGGCACAAAGAGGCCUACCUCUUUGUAUUGAAAGUCAAAUCUUGGUGUUGUUGAGUGCCUGCCUACAUGGCUGUCCAAAGCUGGGUGAUCUCAAUUGCAUUAACUCCCAGUGCAACUCUUAGUUGUACUACACUUCUUUUUUCAUAAGACCAUAUUUCAUUUUGAAGUAGACAGAGCCAUUAAGUUGUUUAACAUAAGUAUUCCAAUAUUUGCUCUAUGUGAUUUGUGUUGCACCAACACUGUUACAUAAAACUCAUAGCAAAUUAAACUAUGCAGCUUGCUUUGCAGGUUUCAUUAUUUCUAUAAUUCCUAUAACAUUUGCCAGUUUGCCACUUGGUGAUGCUCUGUGUUUUGGACACAUUAUUAUUUUUCAGAGUGGUAUAUCUCACAUGCACCCAGCAGAUGGCAUUACCUUUGCAGUUACAGCAUUUCCUGUACUGAAAGGCAGAGAGGCAGAUUGGUGUUUUAUUU